UCGUAACAAGGUUUCCGUAGGUGAACCUGCGGAAGGAUCAUUACUGAGUGAGGGCCCUCUGGGUCCAACCUCCCACCCGUGUUUAUUGUACCUUGUUGCUUCGGUGAGCCCGCCUCACGGCCGCCGGGGGGCUUCUGCCCCCGGGUCCGCGCUCGCCGAAGACACCAUUGAACUCUGUCUGAAGAUUGCAGUCUGAGCAUAAACUAAAUAAGUUAAAACUUUCAACAACGGAUCUCUUGGUUCCGGCAUCGAUGAAGAACGCAGCGAAAUGCGAUAACUAAUGUGAAUUGCAGAAUUCAGUGAAUCAUCGAGUCUUUGAACGCACAUUGCGCCCCCUGGUAUUCCGGGGGGCAUGCCUGUCCGAGCGUCAUUGCUGCCCUCAAGCACGGCUUGUGUGUUGGGCUCCGUCCCCCCGGGGACGGGCCCGAAAGGCAGCGGCGGCACCGAGUCCGGUCCUCGAGCGUAUGGGGCUUUGUCACCCGCUCUGUAGGCCCGGCCGGCGCUUGCCGACAACCCAUCAUCCUUUUCAGGUUGACCUCGGAUCAGGUAGGGAUACCCGCUGAACUUAAGCAUAUCAAUAA
rnacentral:misc_RNA from 1 species